AUUUCUUUGCAGGACUGACGGAUAAGUGGAAUUGACCACAUGUACUGCAAAGUGAAUCAGCCGACCGUCUGGGCAGAGAAC
rnacentral:ncRNA from 2 species